rnacentral:misc_RNA from 1 species
AUUUGCUAAAUUGGUUUGUGAAUUUGUUGAUUUAGUUUUUGGAUCUUAAUAAUUUUGUUUUGUGUUUUGGUAAAACUGAAAGGCAACAAUAAUGGAAUUGAAGGAAUUGCUUAGCUAUAGAUUGAGUAAGGGUCUGGAUUUGGGAUUUAGGCUUCUUAGGGUAUCUGAGUCGGUGAAAGGGAUGAGGGAAUUGCAGAAGAUGGAGAGGAUAAGAGUAGGAGUGGAGAAUUUGAGCUUGAAAAUUAGACAAGAUUCUGCGAUAGAAGCCAUGAGAGAGAGAGAGAGAGAG